AAGUCGUAACAAGGUUUCCGUAGGUGAACCUGCGGAAGGAUCAUUACAGAGUUCAUGCCCGAAAGGGUAGACCUCCCACCCUUGUGUAUUAUUACUUUGUUGCUUUGGCGAGCUGUCUUUGGGCCUUGUAUGCUCGCCAGAGAAUACCAAAACUCUUUUUAUUAAUGUCGUCUGAGUACUAUAUAAUAGUUAAAA
rnacentral:misc_RNA from 1 species